rnacentral:rRNA from 1 species
CUACGGGUCGCUCCAGUGAGGAAUAUUGCACAAUGGGGGGAACCCUGAUGCAGCAACGCCGCGUGGAGGAUGACGCAUUUCGGUGUGUAAGCUCCUUUUAUAUGUCAAGAAAAUGACGGUAGCAUAUGAAUAAGCACCGGCUAACUCCGUGCCAGCAGCCGCGGUAAUACGGAGGGUGCAAGCGUUACUCGGAAUCACUGGGCGUAAAGGACGCGUAGGCGGGUUGGAAAGUCAGGUGUGAAAUCCUACAGCUUAACUGUAGAACUGCACUUGAAACUUCUAAUCUAGAGUAUGGGAGGGGGAGAUGGAAUUAGUGGUGUAGGGGUAAAAUCCGUAGAUAUCACUAGGAAUACCUAAAGCGAAGGCGAUCUCCUGGAACAUUACUGACGCUAAGGCGUGAAAGCGUGGGGAGCGAACAGGAUUAGAUACCCCUGUAGUC